CACGCUUAGGAGAGGAACAGGAAGGUGCAAUGCUUAUGUGCAUCUGAGCAUACAGAAUAACAUUUAUGGAAAUGAACUCCAGGAAAUGAAAACAAGAAGGUUUUUUUUUCUUUUAGCUGUUUUUG